UCCCACAGAGUUAAUCUGGUAAGACCCCUUGUAGAUUACGAGGUUGAUAGGCCGGGUGUGUAAGUACAGCAAUGUAUUUAGCUAACCGGUACUAAUUGGUCGAGGGUUUGACCAUA
rnacentral:rRNA from 1 species